rnacentral:rRNA from 1 species
UACGUAGGGGGCUAGCGUUGUCCGGAAUCAUUGGGCGUAAAGCGCGCGUAGGCGGCCCGGUAAGUCCGCUGUGAAAGUCAAAGGCUCAACCUUUGAAUGUCAGCGGAUACUGCCAGGCUAGAGUCCGGAAGAGGCGAGUGGAACUCCUGGUGUAGCGGUGGAAUGCGCAGAUAUCAGGAAGAACACCAACGGCGAAGGCAGCUCGCUGGGACGGAACUGACGCUGAGGCGCGAAAGCGUGGGGAGCAAACAGG